GAUGAACGCUAGCGGCAGGCUUAAUACAUGCAAGUCGAACGGUAAGAGAUGUAGCAAUACAUUUCCUAGAGUGACGUACGGGUGCGUAACACGUAUGCAACCUACCUGUAACAGGAGUAUAGCUCGGGGAAACUCGAAUUAACCCUCCAUAAGAUCGUGAAGUGGCAUCACUUAGCGCUUAAAACUGAGGUGGUUACAGAUGGGCAUGCGUCUGAUUAGAGUUGGGCGGGGUAAAGGCCCACCAAGACGAUGAUCAGUAGGGGAAC
rnacentral:rRNA from 1 species